rnacentral:lncRNA from 1 species
ACCAUAAUAACCAUGAUUGUGCAUUGUCACACCAUAAUCUUUAUUGGAGUUAUUCCGAUUGUACAUUCUUGCAACCAUAGUAGUAUUUGGGUUAUUGCAGACAUUGUAGCGUUCAACUUUAUUCAUCACCUUUGCCUUUUUCUCCUCUGGCUCUGUGCUUUUACUUGCCAUCUUUGAUUCACCACCUUUUUUUUUCUGUGACCGCUGCCAUCACUAUCACCACCACGAUCAACAACUUCUUUCUCUUCCUUUUUAUCGUUGCGAACACCUGAUCCAUCAUAAUUCUUUGGUGAAACAGCUUCAACUUUCCUUUUGAAUUUCUUAUUCAAGUAAGGUAUGAGUUUCUUUAUAAUACAUCGCUUUACUUUUGUUGCAGAACUGUCACACUGAAUCCAACUACCUUUGUGUUAACUUGAGCUGAACAACCAACUGUUGGGUUCGAAAUCGAGAGGGAGUCGUGCGGAAGCUAUUAGUUGCAAAUUAUCGUGGUGAUAAUUCAGACGACAAAGAAAAUAAUACUAAAAACAUCAUUAUUGUAUAGUUUGGCCAAUUGGCCUACAUAUGAAAACCUAAUAUAAAAGAAAACAUAAAACUAUUAGACAGAAAAUCUUCCCUUAAACAAAACUGCUAUUGUGUUAUGGUAUGAGAAGAAGGGGUCUUCUAUUUAUACAUGUCCAAAACCUUUCUUACAAAAAAGAGGUUAGCCAAAUAUGAAAAAGAAUUAUUUUUUCUUUCAGAAAAAGUAAAAAUAAUUAUGGUAACUUUUAUUUCCCUUCUAAGAAAAAAUAAAACUUAAAUAUAGUAAGAAAAUCAGGGUAAAAACCCUAACAAAUCUCCCCUUGUUGGCUUUAUUUUCUUCACUUGAUCCAUCUUCUCUUCAUAUCACGUGCAUGAACUUCGUUCUUGAUAUAAUCUUCAUAUAUGCUGCUUGCCAUGGUUAAAAAUAAGGUUUAAAAUAUCAUGGCUAAAAAUUGGUUUAAAAGUAAUAUUUUAUUUUUAUUUUUAAAGAUGCAACAGCAGGAGUGUUGAAAAUAUGGUAAAAACUUGUUCUCCACAUGUAGUUCGACAAAAAUCUUCAUUAUCAUCCAAAUUGUUGCAACUUGAUUUUAAUUGGAUCAUUGAACCGUAAGCUCUGAUACCACUUAUUGGGUUCGAAAUCGAGAGGGCGUCAUGCGGAAGCUAUUAGUUGCAAACUAUCGCGGUGAUAAUUCAGACGACAAAGAAAAAAAUACUAAAAACAUGAUUAUUAUAUAUUUUGGCCAAUUGACCUACAUAUAAAAACCUAAUAUAAAAGAAAACAUAAAACUAUUAGAGAGAAAAGCCUAAACAAAACUUUUUAAACUACUACAUUGUGGAUG